UAUGUAUAUAUGCGUAUAAAUCUUUCUUCUCCUCCGGUAAUUUCAUUUCUUUUUCCUCCUUCCCCUAACACCACCUCCUCCUCCUACCCUUUUCACCACCAGAAGCAUCACCUUAUCCUCUUGCUUUUGUACCAUCAGCAAACCAACAACCAUCUUCACCAACACCGCCUUCUUGUCUUCUACCCCAACCCCACCAACAACACCUCCUCCUCCUCUUCCUACGCCACCACAAAAAAUAAGAUGAAUCGAUUGAUAGUAAUAUAAUGGAAUCUGCCGAAAUGAUUCAGGCAUUCAAUUUUUAUUACAAACUCAAUUAACGAAACCAAGGUGGUGAUAGUGGCGAAUUGAUCUCAUGGUAGAAAUGAAUAAUUGACGAGGAUUCAAUUUCAUCUUCUUAUUGUGUUGGGAGAAUGAAUUUUAGAAUGGUAAUUUGAAGUUGUUGAGUCUUAGGACGGAGUCAGUGCAAGGUAAUUUCUCUUUUAAAUUUUGUUUCAAAUGUUUUUAUCGUUCCAUUGCUAUUUAUCCUUCUAUUGGGGUUGUGGGGGUGGAGUUUAGAAGUACUAUAAUGUUGUUUUUUCAAAAAGUAGAACCUGUUGCUUCAUGGAAUCCUUACCUCAAAGUGACAUUCACAUUUUCUGCUAUUGAGGUUCGUUCCUUCUUCCCUUGUGAUUAUGCUGUGUGCUCCCAAGUAAAUGACAAGUUUUUUUUUUUAUCUUUUCAAAUUAUUCCUUUAGAUCUUGAAGUUUAGUGUAUAGUAUUCUUGUGGGUGUAACAAUAGAUCAACUGUGCAUGAUAGGAAGAUUUUAAUCACCUCUUGAUCAAGUUCAAAACUUAGGUUAGGAUUUCUGUGUACUUACUGUGUAAUGUGUAUACUCGAACUUUGACUGAGAUGAUACUUACUGGUAUUACAGCAAAAUGUUUAUAAUAUAUGGACAGUGGUGAUAACAGAUGUGUUAGUGGGAGUUAGAAAUGUUUUCAGUAUGGGUUUUGUUCGGGUCAAUGGUAUGAACGGUUUCAUUUUUUUUUAUGUAUCUUUUGUUUUUUUAGUAUCGUUUUAGGAUAACCUUGCUGGAGAAUUUUAGCUAAUUAUGAGGGGAGGAACGUCCAUAUAAGAUUUAGGGUGAUUGAAAUUUGUUUGCAAUAGAGCGCCAAUUUAAGCAACAUUAGUUACUCUAACAUAUGUUCCUGAUUCGAACAGUAGUACUCGGGUUGUCGCCAUCUUUCGUACUGCUUUCUUAAGCAUAUGUUAGUAUUUGGGCAGUGCCACUGUCGUAUCAGUCUCAUAACCAUCAUAGGUGUUAUUUUGAUUUGUGUGUCUUUAUCAUCUUUGAUUAUUUUUUUCAAUGGACAUGUAGGCAUGCCAUGACAAUCAUGACAUUUCAAUGACAUCUUUUUAUUAAUGGACGUGUAUAAUACUUCCUGUAAUUUUUCUUGCAGUUGAAUAGACAUUUGCACGAAAUCAAUUGUGGUUUCAUCAUAAUUUUUGCUAA